ensembl:lncRNA
AUGGAAGGAAAAACCCUGCCUGGGUUUACUGGCCGGACCUACUGGAAAGAAAGAAAGAAAGAAAGAAAGAAAGAAAGAAAGGAAAGAGGAAAGAGGAAAGAGGAAAGAGAAAGGAAAGAAAAAAGGAAAGGAAAGGAAAGGAAAAAGGAAAGGAAAGGAAAAAGGAAAGGAAAAAGGAAAGGAAAGGAAAAAGGAAAGGAAAAAGGAAAGGAAAGGAAAAAGGAAAGGAAAAAGGAAAGGGGAAAGGAAAGGAAAGGAAAGGAAAAAGGAAAAGAAAAAGGAAAGGAAAGGAAAGGAAAAAGGAAAGGAAAGGAAAGGAAAGGAAAGGAAAAAGGAAAGGAAAGGAAAAAGGAAAGGAAAGGAAAAAGGAAAGGAAAGGAAAAAGGAAAGGAAAGGAAAAAGGAAAGGAAAGGAAAAAGGAAAGGAAAGGAAAAAGGAAAGGAAAGGAAAAAGGAAAGGAAAGGAAAAAGGAAAGGAAAGGAAAAAGGAAAGGAAAGGAAAAAGGAAAGGAAAGGAAAAAGGAAAGGAAAGGAAAAAGGAAAGGAAAGGAAAAAGGAAAGGAAAGGAAAAAGGAAAGGAAAGGAAAAAGGAAAGGAAAGGAAAAAGGAAAGGAAAGGAAAAAGGAAAGGAAAGGAAAAAGGAAAGGAAAGGAAAGGAAAGAGGUACAACAGGUUGCAGUCAGGCAGCCGCAGCAGAAAUUCUCAUUUCUGUGACCUCCAACGCCUGGGAGGGGGGGACGAGGGAAAGGAGACCUGCCCAUGCAUUGCGCCCCCUCCCUGCCCGAUCCUCUCCCGAGCGCAGCUCUGCGGAAUAGUCCCCCCCACCUUUCCAUCUCCCCGGCUGGCAGCGGGUGGGCGCCACGCACGCACGCGCGCCAAGGGGGCUUUGGCGGACCCUGCUCUUUCCAGGCAACUUCGCUCCCGGUCUUGGCGACUCGGUCGCUUUCUGAUUCCCGGCGGCUGGGAUGCCGGGGCCCGAGAUCCCCCGUGGCCGCUCCUCCUCCUCCUCCUUUUCUCUGGCCGCCCUCGGNNNNNNNNNNNNNNNNNNNNNNNNNNNNNNNNCUGCCGCUGCUUGCCUGGCCCGUGGCCGAGGCGUCCUCGACGGCUCUCUUCCUCUUUGCCCUCUUCCUCCUCCUCCUCCUCCACGGGAUCCUCUGGCACGUUUGCGGGGAUCCGGAGAGCUGCUCCCUCUGAAAAGCACAGGCGCUCCUUCCGGCGAGGGGCUGCGGGCGCAAAGGUUGCCAAGGGCAAGAAGAGGAAGCAAUUGUCAGAAUAGCAUUAAAUAUUUCCUCUCCUGGAGGAAGGCGAUUGUAAAAACUCCCAGAGAAUUGCGGGUGGAUGAAGGCUGAGAUUUAUCUGCCUCUGCUAAGCUUCCAGUGCCCUCAACUGGCUCAUCCAUCCAUGCUGAAAAUGCAAUUCUUUUAAAAAACCUCGUUUAUGAGUGUGGGUUAUUCUGUACCCAUGUUUAAAAACAAAACAAAACCAGGAAACAGCUCAAUAAUGCUGCAAAAUAUUGUGCCUGUCUUGCCAGCAGGAAAAAGGAUGCCAAGCUUUACAUAAAAGGGCAGGCUGAAAGUUGACCACGCCCAUGGCAUCAGUCAAGAUGGUCUAACAUAGCCUCUUCUCACUACCCUUCAACAAAAAGUGGCACCUCAUAGAGAAUCCCAGAAGCGGCCUNNNNNNNNNNNNNNNNNNNNNNNNNNNNNNNNNNNNNNNNNNNNNNNNNNNNNNNNNNNNNNNNUGAAGUUGAGGCUCCAAUCCUUUGGCCAUCUCAUGAGAAGAGAAGACUCCCUGGAAAAGACCCUGAUGUUGGGAAAGAGUGAAGGCAAGAGGAGAAGGGGACGACAGAGGACGAGACGGUUGGACAGUGUCAUCGAAGCGACCAACAUGAAUUUAAACCAACUCCGGAAGGCAGUGGAAGACAGGAGGGCCUGGUGUGCUCUGGUCCAUGGGGUCACGAAGAGUCAGGCACGACUUAACGACUAAACAACAACAACCUUUUUCUUAGUGCAUGUUUGUGUUCUGUGCUUGUCAAGUUGGAGCCAAUUUAGAGCGAGGGGCUUUCGAGGUAAGUGAGAUACUUAAGGAUUGCUUUUGCCAGCUCCACACCCAAGCACACGACGGUCUUGGUCACCUUCUAGUGAGGCAGCCCCGGGUUUCUCUGUGCAACCGAUUUAGAGGCGGCUGAGCAGGAGGCAGGGGGACCUCUUUGCGGGGCGUGACUGCCAUCUGGUGGCCAGCAGUGAUUCGGACGCAAAGAUCUUGGCAACUUCAUA